rnacentral:rRNA from 1 species
GACGAACGCUGGCGGCGUGCUUAACACAUGCAAGUCGAACGGCAAGGCCCUGCUUUUGUGGGCUGCUCGAGUGGCGAACGCGUGAGUAACACGUGAGUAACCUGCUCUUGACUUUGGGAUAACUUAAGGAAACUGGGGCUAAUACCGGAUAGGAGCUCAUGCUGCAUGGUGGGGAUUGGAAAGUUUCGGCCGUUGGGGAUGGACUCGCGGCUUAUCAGCUUGUUGGUGGGGUAGUGGCUUACCAAGGCAUUGAAGGGUAGCCCGCCUGGGAGGGUGACCGGGCACAAUGGUACUACGGGACGGCGCAGACGCGUACGUGGGGCAACAGUGGAGAGUAUGGCACAAUGAGACGAAGCCUGUGGCAACGACGCCGCGGUCGUAAUGACGGCCUGCUGGUUGUAAACCGCUUCCGCCUGAUACGAAGCUUUAGUGACGGUAAUGGGUAAAGAAGCACCGGCUAACUACGUG